rnacentral:lncRNA from 1 species
UUCAGAUAAUCGACGCCAGGGUGGCAGAGAAAGAUUGGCCAGUACCAAUGACAAGGGAAGUAUGGCUAUGGAAUCUGCCAAGGAGACUCGCUACUGUGCAGUGUGCAAUGACUAUGCUUCAGGCUACCAUUAUGGAGUCUGGUCCUGUGAGGGCUGCAAGGCCUUCUUCAAGAGAAGUAUUCAAGUUUUGUGGACACAGCUGAAGCUUUCAGAGGUCUUGAAAAACCAUGGCAACAAAUGCC